AACAAGUUGAGAUGGUUCGUUCGCUAAAAGGUCACUGUUCACUCAGGUCUGUGGAGAAAUGGAAUAAAUAAGCAAAGCAAGAUGGAUAUCACCAAGAAGUAACAUUGAGAUAAGGAAAAGGAGUGGACCACAGAAGGAAUCUUGGGAUCUCCAGAGUUGAUGGUGUACAGGUGACAAGGCAAUCUACUGCUAGAGAUGCUUUGCUUAUGAUUGCAUAGCGGGACCCUUAACAUCACUUGAACCACAGGUGGCAGAAAGAAAGGCCUUCAUUUAAUGCCUUAAGGAAAGAUGGCACCUCUAACAUUGCAGUACUCCCUCAGUGUUGGAUGAGAAGAUUAGCCUUGAUUUUGUGCUUGAAACUAUGGGCCAAAUUUCUCCCCAUCAGAAUUUAUGCUUCUAGAGAUUUGAAUGAGAUGGGAGGCUCACUUUCAACAUCCUGACUGAGCAGAUGAUUCAGUGCAAUACAAUAUACACUGUAAUGCCAAUAUCAUAAAUGAUAAUGAGAAGAG